CUCAAACACCCACUACACAAGCAGCCUUACUAAAAGCCCAGUCUCAACUAAGAGACUUUGAACUGGCCAAAACCACAUACUUAUUACAAAAGACCAAACACAAAUACUUCACUUAUGGUAAUAAAGCCGGAGCAAAACUGGCUGCACAACUCAAACAAAAAUCAAUCGCCUCCAGGAUUGCCUCCCUUACCGACAGCAAUAGUUCAAAAAUUUUAGAUCCGAAACAAAUUGUAAACGAAUUUGCCAACUACUACCACAAACUGUAUAAUCUAAAAGAUGACGAGACAGUGCAAAUACCCUCCUCAACUACCAUUGACGCCUUUCUGGCAAAUAUUGCCUUACCAUCCCUUACACAAGACAACAUCCACCAACUCAAACAACCAAUAUCCCCCGAAGAAAUAGCCAAAGCCAUAGCAGACCUACCAAUGAACAAAGCACCAGGACCGGACGGUCUCCCGAACAGGUACUAUAAAGUAUUCUCCCAACAC